rnacentral:sRNA from 1 species
AGGGCACACGUUCAUUACGUGUCUUCCCGUGGGCCCCUUCACCCACGUGGUGAAUGCGGGGAAGCUGUGAAGGUGUAAAGGUCACCAUUCCAGCAGUCUGGACUCUUUCUCCCCUACUGAGACUCAGCUGACACUCACACAUGCACACACACAAACACACACACACGAACAUGUGUGCAUGCACACACACACACCCCUUGUCCCAGGAGCCCAGUGUGCCAGAGCCUCAACAAGAAGAACCACCAGCUGAAAGUUGGGAUCCUACACCUGGUCAGAAGAGAGAAGAAGAUCAGGGUGCGGCUGAGAUUCAAGGUGCUGGGAAGGGAAAAAAAGAAUGUUUAUUGGGAGAGGGAGGCCUAUAUGGGCAUCAUGGCUUAUGCCAUGACCAGUAACAGGAGGAAAGAAAACAUGAGGAAAGGAUCUCAAACAUUUGCUGAGAGUUGGCUGGAAAGGUGACAGGCAUACUUUGCAGCUUCCUGCAGUCCCUGGAUAUGAUGAUUCUUCUCUUUUUCUUCGAGAUGCAUUUUGUAAGCUUGAAAAUACAGUCCUUCCUAAAUCAGAUAAAACCAUUUAAUUGGUU